rnacentral:rRNA from 1 species
AUUGAACGCUGGCGGCAGGCCUAACACAUGCAAGUCGAACGGUAACAGGAAACAGCUUGCUGUUUCGCUGACGAGUGGCGGACGGGUGAGUAAUGUCUGGGAAACUGCCUGAUGGAGGGGGAUAACUACUGGAAACGGUAGCUAAUACCGCAUAACGUCGCAAGACCAAAGAGGGGGACCCUCGGGCCUCUUGCCAUCGGAUGUGCCCAGAUGGGAUUAGCUUGUUGGUGGGGUAACGGCUCACCAAGGCGACGAUCCCUAGCUGGUCUGAGAGGAUGACCAGCCACACUGGAACUGAGACACGGUCCAGGCUCCUACGGGAGGCAGCAGUGGGGAAUAUUGCACAAUGGGCGCAAGCCUGAUGCAGCCAUGCCGCGUGUAUGAAGAAGGCCUUCGGGUUGUAAAGUACUUUCAGCGGGGAGGAAGGGAGUAAAGUUAAUACCUUUGCUCAUUGACGUUACCCGCAGGAGAAGCACCGGCUAACUCCGUG